rnacentral:sRNA from 1 species
GUCGGGCCGGGCCCGGCCGCUUCCGCGAGCGCCCGGCAGACUGAGGGAGAGAGAAAGAGGAGGGGAGGAGGAGGAGGAUUCAGGGAAUAGGAGCUGGGGAGCCCUUCUGCGCCACAGUGAUAUCAGUAUCAAGAUAAAAGUUUGGAAUGGGAGAAAAAUUCUCAAAGCCUGAAAGAAAAUCUGAGAUGCUUGGAGUGUAAAGAUCCCAUGGUCACAUAAAUCCGGAAAGCACUGAAUACUUUGUUUCCCAUAAGAGAAUCCCAUUAUAUGUUGAUGUAUUAAAAGACCUGAGAACCUGGUGUAGUUACUUUUGGUGACACUAUCCAGUUCCCACAAUGUAUCAUUCCUUAACUGAAACUAGACAUCCUCUGCAGCCAGAAGAACAAGAAGUAGGCAUUGACCCCUUGUCCAGUUACUCUAACAAGUCUGGAGGAAAGAAUGGGAAGAACUAUUUGUAAACAACAAUUACUUGGCAACAAUAAGGCAGAAGGGGAUUAAUGGGCAGCUGAGAAGCAGCAGGUUCCGCAGCAUUUGCUGGAAG